UUGGAGCCGAUCUUCACCACAUGCUCUGCACUCCCAUCAUUCAAGGGGAUCGAGACCAGAUCUUCAAUUGGCCCACCCCUUUCCUCAGCGAGGACAUCGCGGGCGUCCAAUCCAUCAACCGGACAGAGGUCAGAUUGGUCACUUCUUUGCAAGGCUAUGUUGUAGCAGUGUCUAGCCAGGGCUUGAUCUCUCUUGACUUCUCCGACCCCCUGGUUAGUAGGAAAUUUCAAUUUCAGAUGGUAGGUCGACACCACGGCCCGGAGGGCAUUGAGGCCAGGUCGGCCGAGGAUUGCGUUGUAGGCUGACGGUGCCUUCACCACUAGAAAAUCCACCAGAGCCCUGGAUUGUCUUGGAUAUCGACCUGCAAC
rnacentral:lncRNA from 1 species